AUGAACGCUGGCGGCGUGCCUAACACAUGCAAGUCGAACGGGAUCCUUGGAUUCGUCCGAGGUGAGAGUGGCGAACGGGUGAGUAACACGUAGGUGACCUGCCCCGAAGUGGGGAAUAACCAUUGGAAACGAUGGCUAAUACCCCAUAUGCUCCAUAGUUCGUUCUGUGGAGUAAAGUUCCGGCGCUUCGGGAGGGGCCUGCGGCCCAUCAGGUAGUUGGUAGGGUAAUGGCCUACCAAGCCUAUGACGGGUAGGGGGCGUGAGAGCGUGAUCCCCCACACUGGCACUGAGAUACGGGCCAGACUCCUACGGGAGGCAGCAGUGAGGAAUAUUGCCCAAUGGACGAAAGUCUGAGGCAGCAACGCCGCGUGGGUGAUGAAGGCCUUCGGGUUGUAAAACCCUUUUCCGGGGGACGAGUAAGGACGGUACCCCAGGAAUAAGUCACGGCUCACUACGU
rnacentral:rRNA from 1 species